GCUACCAUGCAGUCGAGCGGGGGAGGUAGCUUGCUACUGGACCUAGCGGCGGACGGGUGAGUAAUGCUUAGGAAUCUGCCUAUUAGUGGGGGACAACAUCUCGAAAGGGAUGCUAAUACCGCAUACGUCCUACGGGAGAAAGCAGGGGAUCUUCGGACCUUGCGCUAAUAGAUGAGCCUAAGUCGGAUUAGCUAGUUGGUGGGGUAAAGGCCUACCAAGGCGACGAUCUGUAGCGGGUCUGAGAGGAUGAUCCGCCACACUGGGACUGAGACACGGCCCAGACUCCUACGGGAGGCAGCAGUGGGGAAUAUUGGACAAUGGGGGGAACCCUGAUCCAGCCAUGCCGCGUGUGUGAAGAAGGCCUUAUGGUUGUAAAGCACUUUAAGCGAGGAGGAGGCUACUUUAGUUAAUACCUAGAGAUAGUGGACGUUACUCGCAGAAUAAGCACCGGCUAACUCUGUGCCAGCAGCCGCGGUAAUACAGAGGGUGCGAGCGUUAAUCGGAUUUACUGGGCGUAAAGCGUGCGUAGGCGGCUUAUUAAGUCGGAUGUGAAAUCCCCGAGCUUAACUUGGGAAUUGCAUUCGAUACUGGUGAGCUAGAGUAUGGGAGAGGAUGGUAGAAUUCCAGGUGUAGCGGUGAAAUGCGUAGAGAUCUGGAGGAAUACCGAUGGCGAAGGCAGCCAUCUGGCCUAAUACUGACGCUGAGGUACGAAAGCAUGGGGAGCAAACAGGAUUAGAUACCCUGGUAGUCCAUGCCGUAAACGAUGUCUACUAGCCGUUGGGGCCUUUGAGGCUUUAGUGGCGCAGCUAACGCGAUAAGUAGACCGCCUGGGGAGUACGGUCGCAAGACUAAAACUCAAAUGAAUUGACGGGGGCCCGCACAAGCGGUGGAGCAUGUGGUUUAAUUCGAUGC
rnacentral:rRNA from 1 species